AACGAACGUUAGCGGCGCGCUUAACACAUGCAAGUCGUACGGGACUGGGGGCAACUCCAGUUCAGUGGCGCACGGGUGAGUAACACGUAGGUAAUCUCCCCUCGAGUGGUGGAUAACCUU
rnacentral:rRNA from 1 species